rnacentral:rRNA from 1 species
GAUGAACGCUGGCGGCGUGCCUAAUACAUGCAAGUCGAGCGAAUGGAUUAAGAGCUUGCUCUUAUGAAGUUAGCGGCGGACGGGUGAGUAACACGUGGGUAACCUGCCCAUAAGACUGGGAUAACUCCGGGCAACCGGGGCUAAUACCGGAUAAUAUUUUGAACUGCAUGGUUCAAAAUUGAAAGGCGGCUUCGGCUGUCACUUAUGGAUGGACCCGCGUCGCAUUAGCUAGUUGGUGAGGUAACGGCUCACCAAGGCAACGAUGCGUAGCCGACCUGAGAGGGUGCUCGGCCACACUGGGACUGAGACACGGCCCAGACUCCUACGGGAGGCAGCAGUAGGGAAUCCUCCGCAAUGGACGAAAGUCUGACGGAGCAACGCCGCGUGAGUGAUGAAGGCUUUCGGGUCGUAAAACUCUGUUGUUAGGGAAGAACAAGUGCUAGUUGAAUAAGCUGGCACCUUGACGGUACCUAACCAGAAAGCCACGGCUAACUACGUGCCAGCCGCCGCGGUAA